rnacentral:tRNA from 1 species
GGGCCUGUAGCUCAGUUGGUUAGAGCAAUCGACUCAUAAUCGAUUGGCCGUAGGUUCGAGUCCUACCAGGCCCACCA